UAAACGACUCUCGGCAACGGAUAUCUCGGCUCUCGCAUCGAUGAAGNNNNNNNCGAAAUGCGAUACUUGGUGUGAAUUGCAGAAUCCCGUGAACCAUCGAGUUUUUGAACGCAAGUUGCGCCCGAAGCCAUUAGGUUGAGGGCACGUCUGCCUGGGCGUCUCAC
rnacentral:rRNA from 1 species